rnacentral:rRNA from 1 species
UAUUGGAUAAUGGGGGGAACCCUGAUCCAGCGACGCCGCGUGAGUGAAGAAGUAUCUCGGUAUGUAAAGCUCUAUCAGCAGGGAAGAAGNAAUGACGGUACCUGAGUAAGAAGCCCCGGCUAACUACGUGCCAGCAGCCGCGGUAAUACGUAGGGGGCAAGCGUUAUCCGGAUUUACUGGGUGUAAAGGGAGCGUAGACGGCAUAGCAAGUCUGAAGUGAAAGCCCAAGGCUCAACCAUGGGACUGCUUUGGAAACUGUUAAGCUAGAGUGCUGGAGAGGUAAGCGGAAUUCCUAGUGUAGCGGUGAAAUGCGUAGAUAUUAGGAAGAACACCAGUGGCGAAGGCGGCUUACUGGACAGUAACUGACGUUGAGGCUCGAAAGCGUGGGGAGCAAACAGG